GAAAAUUUAGUUAAAUUAUAAUAUUAGCUUGUCAAGCUAAAGUUACUCCUUCAGUAAUUUUCU
rnacentral:tRNA from 1 species